UCGGGAAUUUUGGGCAAUGGGCGAAAGCCUGACCCAGCAACGCCGCGUGAAGGAUGAGGUAUUUCGGUAUGUAAACUUCGAAAGAAUAGGAAGAAUAAAUGACGGUACUAUUUAUAAGGUCCGGCUAACUACGUGCCAGCAGCCGCGGUAAUACGUAGGGACCAAGCGUUGUUCGGAUUUACUGGGCGUAAAGGGCGCGUAGGCGGCAAUUCAAGUCAUCUGUGAAAUCUCCGGGCUUAACUCGGAACGGUCAGAUGAUACUGCUUUGCUAGAGUGCAGAAGGGGCAAUCGGAAUUCUUGGUGUAGCGGUGAAAUGCGUAGAUAUCAAGAGGAACACCUGAGGUGAAGACGGGUUGCUGGGCUGACACUGACGCUGAGGCGCGAAAGCCAGGGGGAGCAAACGGGAUUAGAUACCCUAGUAGUCCCUGAGCGGGCUGGCAAGGCGCAU
rnacentral:rRNA from 1 species